GAUGAAGAACGUAGCGAAAUGCGAUACGUAAUGUGAAUUGCAGAUCUCUCAGUGAACCAUCGAAUCUUUGAACGCACAUUGCGCCCGCCAGUAUUCUGGCGGGCAUGCCUGUCCGAGCGUCAUUUCAACCCUCGAACCCCUCCGGGGGGUCGGCGUUGGGGAUCGGCCCUGCCUCUUGGCGGUGGCCGUCUCCGAAAUACAGUGGCGGUCUCGCCGCAGCCUCUCCUGCGCAGUAGUUUGCACACUCGCAUCGGGAGCGCGGCGCGUCCACAGCCGUUAAACACCCAACUUCUGAAAUGUUGACCUCGGAUCAGGUAGGAAUACCCGCUGAACUUAAGCAUAUCAAUAAGCGGAGGA
rnacentral:misc_RNA from 1 species